CCUUGGCACUAGAAGCCGAAGAAGGACGUUACUAACGACGAUAUGCUUUGGGUAGCUGUAAGUAAGCGUUGAUCCAGAGAUUUCCGAAUGGGGGAACCCAACAUGAGUUAUGUCAUGUUAUCGACAUGUGAAUUCAUAGCAUGUCAGAAGGCAGACCCGGAGAACUGAAACAUCUUAGUACCCGGAGGAAGAGAAAGAAAAAUCGAUUCCCUGAGUAGCGGCGAGCGAAACGGGAAGAGCCCAAACCAACAAGCUUGCUUGUUGGGGUUGUAGGACACUCUAUACGGAGUUACAAAAGAACAUGUUAGACGAAUCAUCUGGAAAGAUGAAUCAAAGAAGGUAAUAAUCCUGUAGUCUAAAACAUAUUCUCUCUUGAGUGGAUCCUGAGUACGACGGAGCACGUGAAAUUCCGUCGGAAUCUAGGAGGACCAUCUCCUAAGGCUAAAUACUCUCUAGUGACCGAUAGUGAACCAGUACCGUGAGGGAAAGGUGAAAAGUACCCCGGAAGGGGAGUGAAAGAGAACUUGAAACCGUGUGCUUACAAGUAGUCAGAGCCCGUUUAUGGGUGAUGGCGUGCCUUUUGUAGAAUGAACCGGCGAGUUACGAUCUGAUGCAAGGUUAAGCAGCGAAUGUGGAGCCGUAGCGAAAGCGAGUCUGAAUAGGGCGUUGAGUAUUUGGUCGUAGACCCGAAACCAGGUGAUCUACCCUUGGUCAGGUUGAAGUUCAGGUAACACUGAAUGGAGGACCGAACCGACUUACGUUGAAAAGUGAGCGGAUGAACUGAGGGUAGCGGAGAAAUUCCAAUCGAACUUGGAGAUAGCUGGUUCUCUCCGAAAUAGCUUU
rnacentral:rRNA from 1 species